UCCCAGUUAACCUGGGCAGUCUCAUUAGAGUUCCCACCAUUACGUGUUGGCAACUAAUGAUAAGGGUUGCGCUCGUUGCGGGACUUAACCCAACACCUCACGGCACGAGCUGACGACAGCCAUGCAGCACCUGUGCACAGGCCCCGAAGGGCGAUAACAUCUCUGCUAUCUUCCUGUGCAUGUCAAGCCUGGGUAAGGUUCUUCGCGUUGCAUCGAAUUAAACCACAUGCUCCACUGCUUGUGCGGGUCCCCGUCAAUUCUUUUGAGUUUCAGCCUUGCGACUGUACUCCUCAGGCGGUAUACUUAUCGCGUUAGCUACGGCACAACCAGGGUUGAGUCCGGUUACACCAAGUAUACAUCGUUUACGGCAAGGACUAC
rnacentral:misc_RNA from 1 species